UAUACAAUUUUGAAUUUGAAGCAUGUCAUAUAAGUGAUAUACCAUAUGUACAAAUAAAUGCCUUUUGAAGGCUCUGAGGCCAUUGUAGCACAAAACAGAUAUCUGACAGAGAUACGAGGAGUGAUACAGAUAAAAAUAUCACUUUCCCACUCAAUACUCCAGAACAGUGAAGAAUUUGAAUUCCACUGUUAUGCAGUUGUACUCUUGUACUGUGGUUUUACUUGCAAGGGUUUGCUAAACAGAUAAGCAAAUUGGCAACAUUUACAAUCACAGAACCAAUCUUUUUUUUUUUUUUUAAUUCAAAACAAGAUGCGACUUUAAGAUAACCAACAAGAAGUGGAAGGCGUGCCUGUGCAAGAGAUAGGGUGUGACAGCUUUUGAAAGCUGGCAUAUUGAGCAGGUGUGUACUGAAAUGUCAAAUGUGUUACAUAAAUAAUUUGUGUGUGUGUG